rnacentral:rRNA from 1 species
AAGGCAGCAGGCACGCAAAUUACCCACUCCCGGCACGGGGAGGUAGUGACAAAAAAUAACGAUACGGGACUCAUCCGAGGCCCCGUAAUCGGAAUGAGUACACUUUAAAUCCUUUAACAAGUACCAAAUGGAGGGCAAGUCUGGUGCCAGCAGCCGCGGUAAUUCCAGCUCCAUUAGCGUAUAUUAAAGUUGUUGCGGUUAAAAAGCUCGUAGUUGGUUCUGUGUCCCGCGCUGCCGGUUCACCGCCUGCCGGUGCAACUGGCAUGCCGCGGGAUGUACUGUCGGUGGCGUCCCCCACCCCCGACGCGUGUAGGCUAACGCCGAAGCGCCGCCGGUGCGUGUGAGGGACGCCGAUCUAAUCCUGCCGCGGUGCUCUUCAGUGAGUGUCGAGGUAGGCCGACACGUUUACUUUGAACAAAUUAGAGUGCUUAAAGCAGGCUAACAAUGCCUGUAUACCUGGGCAUGGAAUAAUGGAAUAGGACCUCGGUUCUAUUUUGUUGGUUUCCUGAACCCGAGGUAAUGAUCAAUAUGGACAGGCGGGGGCAUUCGUAUUGCGACGUUAGAGGUGAAAUUCUUGGAUCGUCGCAAGACGGACUAGAGCGAAAGCAUUUGCCAAGUAUGUCUUAGUUGAUCAAGAACGAAAGUUAGAGGUUCGAAGGCGAUCAGAUACCGCCCUAGUUCUAACCAUAAACGAUGCCAGCCAGCGAUCCGCCGAUGUUCCUCCGAUGACUCGG